CGCACCUUGCGCUCUUGGGCUAUUCCUAAGAGCAUGCCUGUUUGAGUGUCGUGAACUCCUCAACCCUGGAUGGAUUUUGAAUCUGACCAGUGGCUUGGAUUUGGGGGUUUGCAGGCCGUUUUGAUUCGGUCUGCUCCCCUUGAAUGUAUUAGCUUGGACUUGUUACUGAGGCUGCACAGCGUGAUAACUAUCUACGCUUUCAUGUCUUUGAAACAUUGUUGGGUCUGGCUUCUAAUAGUCCUCUGGACAACAUUUCAAUCUUUGACCUCAAAUCAGGUAGGACUACCCGCUGAACUUAA
rnacentral:misc_RNA from 1 species